rnacentral:rRNA from 1 species
GACGAACGCUGGCGGCGCGCCUAACACAUGCAAGUCGAACGAGCGAGCGAGCGUUUGCUUUCUCAAGCGAGUGGCGAACGGGUGAGUAACGCGUGAGGAACCUGCCUUAAAGAGGGGGACAACAGUUGGAAACGACUGCUAAUACCGCAUAAGCCCACGUCCCGGCUUGGGGUAGAGGGAAAAGGAGCAAUCCGCUUUGAGAGGGCCUCGCUUCCGAUUUGCUAGUUGGUGAGGUAACGGCCCACCAAGGCGACGAUAGGUAGCCGGGCGGAGACGUCGAACCGCCACAUUGGGACGAAGACACGGCCCAGAAUCCUAGGCAAGGGGGGAGUGGGGAAUAUAGCACGAUGGAGCAAGCCCUGAAGAAGCGCGGCCGGGUGGAGGGAGAAGGUCUGCGGAAAGUAAUCUCGUGUUGUAGAGGGAGGGAAUGACGGUAAUGAACAAAGAAGCGACGGCUAACUACGUG